rnacentral:rRNA from 1 species
UGGUAAUGCCGGAUGCUCCAUCACACCGCAUGGUGUGUUGGGAAAGCCUUUGCGGCAUGGGAUGGGGUCGCGUCCUAUCAGCUUGAUGGCGGGGUAACGGCCCACCAUGGCUUCGACGGGUAGCCGGCCUGAGAGGGCGACCGGCCACAUUGGGACUGAGAUACGGCCCAGACUCCUACGGGAGGCAGCAGUGGGGAAUAUUGCACAAUGGGCGCAAGCCUGAUGCAGCGACGCCGCGUGAGGGAUGGAGGCCUUCGGGUUGUAAACCUCUUUUGUUAGGGAGCAAGGCAUUUUGUGUUGAGUGUACCUUUCGAAUAAGCACCGGCUAACUACGUGCCAGCAGCCGCGGUAAUACGUAGGGUGCAAGCGUUAUCCGGAAUUAUUGGGCGUAAAGGGCUCGUAGGCGGUUCGUCGCGUCCGGUGUGAAAGUCCAUCGCUUAACGGUGGAUCCGCGCCGGGUACGGGCGGGCUUGAGUGCGGUAGGGGAGACUGGAAUUCCCGGUGUAACGGUGGAAUGUGUAGAUAUCGGAAAGAA